rnacentral:rRNA from 1 species
CCUAUGGCCCCGCGUGUGCGGCAGGUGCUACCUGGUCGGGGCGGUUUCCCGAGUCCACGCCGCUCGACGCCCGAUCCGUUCUUAUCUAUUCUUUCACCGCCCAUCUGUCCCGUCGAGCCAUAGCGCUCGCCGCCCUCGAUAGCUACCUCCGCGCCGUCCCACCCGAGGCCGUCGCUGCCGUCGUCGACCUCGUGUUCGCCUCCUCCCCAUCCUCCACCUCGCCCUCCAAGCUCUUCCGCACACUCCUCUUCUCCUUCCCGAAGGUGUAGGACGACGGUCACGGCCAUGCCGCCGGCUUCUGCCAUCCGCUCCCCCGCCUCUGCUACCCCAGGGACGCUAUGUGUGCACUUCUCGUGAGGGUCUUCCGGUCGCUCCUCCACCGGGAGGACGCCCAGCCUAGCCGGCUCCAGCAACAGGCCGGAAUGUCACUGGCCCAGACCUGCACCAUCUUCUCAAUCGAUCUGCUGCAGCGAGCUAUGUAGAUUCUGAUGGAUGAAGUGCAUGGUUUUUGUGUGCAGAAGAGAGCACGUGAACGAGGGGCUCUCCGGCGAAAUUGUGGGAGAUGCCGGGGCCGGGGGGCAGCGACCGCUCGUACGAUGCGGGCUGGGAUGAUUCGACCACCGCGAUGGGGCCCAUCGCCCACCUUUUCGACCUCCUUCCCGGUCGACCAGGUCAAAAUGUCUCAAGCCAAAAUUCAAAGGAAUGUCUCAUAAUUUUGCAUCUUCUGAACAAGAAUAAAAUAGAGCAGCGCAGUAGCUCGUUCAGAAAUUCAAACAAGGUUGGGGUAUUAGAGUACAGUUCAGAUGCAAAUGGAAAGUCUUAGUUCUACUCAAAGAGAAUGAUGAUGAUUCGGAUUGCAAGCUUGGCUAGUAGUACACCGAUCAUAUCUCGAGAGUGGUCUGGUAGAAGGCAUUCAUAAUCGCACAUAGCGUGCAUCUGAUUAAGCUUGGCAUCCUUGUCUGAUCUCAGUUGCACAUCCACAACCGAGUUGUACAUCAAGAGCUAAAUAGUUGGUCAGAGCAACUGAUUAAGAGGCUCAUCGUCCGCUACGGUGUAACUCAUGAAGUCACAUAUCAUUUGUUUGGCAUAUGUAGUAGUUGUAGUUGCACACAUAAUUAUUUCAGUUGGAUACGAUCACUGGAAAAUUGCACACAUGCUGAUGCUAUGUUGGCUAGAUGAUGUGUCGCGCUCCCGUUGGCAUAGUUGUACAUGUGUGGCCACCGAAUUGCACACUCUCACCGGCAUAGUCGCACAUGCAUGGGUGCGCACCGCCAUAAUAGUUGUAGUCUCCUCCCUCCUCUUUCUUGGAGUUGAAGCAAGUGUUUCCCAGCCGCCGCAGCCGGAAAGGGCCGCCGCGCUCCUCCUACCGGCGCCGCGGCUACGCACUCGGCCGCCGUUCUCAAGGAAGGUGUCCUCGUGCCGCUGGCCGCCGUCGUCGUCGGAAGAAGUGGAUUCGAUCUUGUAGGUGAAGAUGUUGGUGGAGGAUCUGCUGAGUAGCGGUCGUGGUCGUGCUCCUCUCGUUGC